rnacentral:tRNA from 1 species
GGCCUUAUAGUUGACCCACAACAUCAAACUGCAAAUUUGAAAGCGUAAUUUACUAAGGCCU